UGAGCAAUCUGCCCUUCUCAUCGGAAUAAGCGUUGGAAACGACGUCUAAUGCCGAAUACGACCUCCUUUCACAUGAUCGGAGGUGGAAAGCUCCGGCGGAGAAGGAUGAGCUCGCGGCCUACCAGCUAGUUGGUGUGGGUAAUGGCCCACCAAGGCGACGACGGGUAGCCGGCCUGAGAGGGUGAUCGGCCACACUGGGACUGAGACACGGCCCAGACUCCUACGGGAGCAG
rnacentral:rRNA from 1 species